UCCUCUCUUCCCUUGUCUCCUUCUUCUAAUCUCCUUCGUCUUCUCCACAAAGCACUCGUCUUCUUUCACAAAACUCUCUUCUUUUUUCUUAACCUUCUUCAUCUGCUCCUUUCAUUAGGGAUAGCUCCAUAUGAAACUAUCCUUCAUUUCUUCCACCAGACAUAAUUUUCUCCUCCACUUACCAUUAUAAUAUUCUUCCUUCUCUUAUCUUCAUUUG
rnacentral:lncRNA from 1 species